rnacentral:rRNA from 1 species
GAUGAACGCUGGCGGCGUGCCUAAUACAUGCAAGUCGAGCGAACGGACGAGAAGCUUGCUUCUCUGAUGUUAGCGGCGGACGGGUGAGUAACACGUGGAUAACCUACCUAUAAGACUGGGAUAACUUCGGGAAACCGGAGCUAAUACCGGAUAAUAUUUUGAACCGCAUGGUUCAAAAGUGAAAGACGGUCUUGCUGUCACUUAUAGAUGGAUCCGCGCUGCAUUAUCUAGUUGGUAAGUUAACGGCUUACCAAGGCAACGAUGCAUAGCCGACCUGAGAGGCUGAUCGCCCACACUAGAACGGAGACACGGACCAGACUCCUACGGGAGGCAGCAGUAGGGAAUCUUACGCAAUGGGCGAAAGCCUGACGGAGCAACGCCGAGUGAGUGAUGAAGGUCUUCGGAUCGUAAAACUCUGUUAUUAGGGAAGAACAUAUGUGUAAGUAACUGUGCACAUCUUGACGGUACCUAAUCAGAAAGCCACGGCUAACUACGUG